rnacentral:lncRNA from 1 species
CAAUAGUUGAGCUGGUGAAGCUGAGGUUGUUCUGGUAGGCUAUGACUUCUCUAGAUGUUUUCUGACUUACUUCAGAACAUAAAGUAGAGGGUUGUAUUGCUGACUUCACUCCCUGUGUUUUGGGUCAGGAGAGAGCUCCUUGUUUCUGGAUGGCCUCAGGUUGAUGACCCCUUCUGCCAACUUCCAUGUGGUGCACAACCAAAACAAAGUACAGCUCUCCUGAACCUGCUACCUGUCUCACAACAACUGAAAAACAAAUUGGAGUUACCUACACAAGAGUAGGUGCUGAACAGAACACAAAUCUCAACACACUGCCUGUUAUUGAACCACCAUUUUCAUAUUCCUGUUUUCACAGUUUCUACCAUCAUGUUUUCUUCUUACAGUCUGUUUCCUGCCCUGAGAGAUCAAAUUAAGAAUUGCCAAGAGUGGAAUCUUGUGAAGAUUUCCUUUCUUAAAGCUGUUUAUACUUAUUUUACACUAGAAUGAAUGGAAAAGACAUGGUCAAUCAAAGCUUUUCUUGAAUUCUGGAAGGACAGAGUACCACUGCACAUGCACUGAAGUACUUUCCUCCAAGAAAUAGUGUGGUGUUCCUUUUUUUUAAUUAUUUAUUUUAUUUGGGA